rnacentral:rRNA from 1 species
UACGUAGGGUGCAAGCGUUAAUCGGAAUUAUUGGGCGUAAAGGGUGCGCAGGCGGUUUUGUAAGUCAGAUGUGAAAUCCCCGGGCUUAACCUGGGAAUUGCGUUUGAAACUACAAGACUAGAGUGUGGCAGAGGGGGGUGGAAUUCCAUGUGUAGCAGUGAAAUGCGUAGAGAUGUGGAAGAACAUCGAUGGCGAAGGCAACCCCCUGGGUUAACACUGACGCUCAGGCACGAAAGCGUGGGGAGCAAACAGGAUUAGAUACCCUGGUAGUCCACGCCCUAAACUAUGUCAACUAGUUGUCGGAUCUUAAUAGAUUUGGUAACGUAGCUAACGCGUGAAGUUGACCGCCUGGGGAGUACGGUCGCAAGAUUAAA